GGCGCACGGGUGAGUAACACGUGGGUAAUCUACCUUCGGAUUUGGAAUAACCCAGGGAAACUUGGGCUAAUACCGGAUAAGACCACGGUUCUAACAGUUUCGUGGUAAAAGCGGAGGACCUCCUCGGAGGCUUCGCGUCUGAAGAUGAGCCCGCGGUCCAUCAGGUAGUUGGCGGGGUAACGGCCCACCAAGCCAUAGACGGAUAGCUGGUCUGAGAGGAUGAUCAGCCACACUGGAACUGAGACACGGUCCAGACUCCUACGGGAGGCAGCAGUGGGGAAUUUUGCGCAAUGGGCGCAAGCCUGACGCAGCAACGCCGCGUGAGUGAUGAAGGUCUUCGGAUCGUAAAGCUCUGUCGGCGGGAACGAUGCUUUCGCUGGAUAACACCCAGCGGAAUCGACGGUACUCGCAAAGGAAGCACCGGCUAACUCUGUGCCAGCAGCCGCGGUAAGACAGAGGGUGCGAGCGUUGUUCGGAAUCAUUGGGCGUAAAGGGCGCGUAGGCGGCUUGGCAAGUUGGAUGUGAAAGCCCCGGGCCUAACCCGGGAAGUGCAUCCAAAACUGCUUUGCUUGAGUCCUG
rnacentral:rRNA from 1 species